AUUGAACGCUGGCGGCAGGCUUAACACAUGCAAGUCGAGCGGGGGAAGGUAGCUUGCUACCGGACCUAGCGGCGGACGGGUGAGUAAUGCUUAGGAAUCUGCCUAUUAGUGGGGGACAACAUCUCGAAAGGGAUGCUAAUACCGCAUACGUCCUACGGGAGAAAGCAGGGGAUCUUUGGACCUUGCGCUAAUAGAUGAGCCUAAGUCGGAUUAGCUAGUUGGUGGGGUAAAGGCCUACCAAGGCGACGAUCUGUAGCGGGUCUGAGAGGAUGAUCCGCCACACUGGGACUGGGACACGGCCCAGAAUCCUACGGGAGGCAGCAGUGGGGAAUAUUGGACAAUGGGGGGAACCCUGAUCCAGCCAUGCCGCGUGUGUGAAGAAGGCCUUAUGGUUGUAAAGCACUUUAAGCGAGGAGGAGGCUACUUUAGUUAAUACCUAGAGAUAGUGGACGUUACUCGCAGAAUAAGCACCGGCUAACUCUGUGCCAGCCGCCGCAGUAA
rnacentral:rRNA from 1 species